AUUGAACGCUGGCGGCAUGCCUUACACAUGCAAGUCGAACGGCAGCACGGGUGCUUGCACCUGGUGGCGAGUGGCGAACGGGUGAGUAAUACAUCGGAACAUGUCCUGUAGUGGGGGCUAGCCCGGCGAAAGCCGGAUUAAUACCGCAUACGAUCUACGGAUGAAAGCGGGGGACCUUCGGGCCUCGCGCUAUCGGGUUGGCCGGUGGCUGAUUAGCUAGUUGGUGGGGUAAAGGCCUACCAAGGCGACGCUCAGUAGCCGGUCUGAGAGGGCGACCAGCCACACUGGGACUGAGACACGGCCCAGACUCCUACGGGAGGCAGCAGUGGGGAAUUUUGGACAAUGGGCGAAAGCCUGAUCCAGCAAUGCCGCGUGUGUGAAGAAGGCCUUCGGGUUGUAAAGCACUUUUGUCCGGAAAGAAAUCCUUGGCCCUAAUACGGUCGGGGGAUGACGGUACCGGAAGAAUAAGCACCGGCUAACUACGUG
rnacentral:rRNA from 1 species